CCCGCUCACAGGGAGGGUUUGUCUUCUGCAGAGGCUCGAGGCUCAGGAGCCAGGGUGAUGUGCCAGGCUGGUGUUGUCCUGCAGCAGAUGUGGGGAUUUUUCCUGCUCUACGCUUCCCUGAUGGUGGGAGGUGCUGCAGGACAAAGUGUUGAGCAGCCCACUGAGCUGACGGCUGUGGAAGGAGCCUUCAUCCAGUGUUCUGGAUGGUGUGGAGAGGAGAGGCCAUUUUUCUACAUUCCUUAGUCGGUCUGAUGGGUAUGGUUACCUCCUCCUGAGGGAGCUCCAGAUGAAAGACUCUGCCUCUUACCUGUGUGCUGUGA